rnacentral:rRNA from 1 species
UACGUAGGUGGCAAGCGUUAUCCGGAAUGAUUGGGCGUAAAGGGUGCGCAGGCGGAACCAUAAGUCUGAAGUAAAAGCCAUCGGCUCAACCGAUGUAAGCUUUGGAAACUGUGGAUCUGGAGUGCAGGAGAGGACAGUGGAAUUCCAUGUGUAGCGGUAAAAUGCGUAGAUAUAUGGAGGAACACCAGUGGCGAAGGCGGCUGUCUGGCCUGUAACUGACGCUGAGGCACGAAAGCGUGGGGAGCAAAUAG